rnacentral:rRNA from 1 species
AUGAACGCUGGCGGCGUGCUUAACACAUGCAAGUCGAACGAAGCACUUUAUUUGAUUUCCUUCGGGAUUGAUUAUUUUGUGACUGAGUGGCGGACGGGUGAGUAACGCGUGGGUAACCUGCCUUGUACAGGGGGAUAACAGUUGGAAACGGCUGCUAAUACCGCAUAAGCGCACAGCAUCGCAUGAUGCAGUGUGAAAAACUCCGGUGGUAUAAGAUGGACCCGCGUUGGAUUAGCUAGUUGGUGAGGUAACGGCCCACCAAGGCGACGAUCCAUAGCCGACCUGAGAGGGUGACCGGCCACAUUGGGACUGAGACACGGCCCAAACUCCUACGGGAGGCAGCAGUGGGGAAUAUUGCACAAUGGGCGAAAGCCUGAUGCAGCGACGCCGCGUGAGCGAAGAAGUAUUUCGGUAUGUAAAGCUCUAUCAGCAGGGAAGAUAAUGACGGUACCUGACUAAGAAGCACCGGCUAAAUACGUGCCAGCAGCCGCGGUAAUACGUAUGGUGCAAGCGUUAUCCGGAUUUACUGGGUGUAAAGGGAGCGCAGGCGGUGCGGCAAGUCUGAUGUGAAAGCCCGGGGCUCAACCCCGGUACUGCAUUGGAAACUGUCGUACUAGAGUGUCGGAGGGGUAAGCGGAAUUCCUAGUGUAGCGGUGAAAUGCGUAGAUAUUAGGAGGAACACCAGUGGCGAAGGCGGCUUACUGGACGAUAACUGACGCUGAGGCUCGAAAGCGUGGGGAGCAAACAGGAUUAGAUACCCUGGUAGUCCACGCAGUAAACGAUGAUUACUAGGAGUUUGCGAUACAAUGUAAGCUCUACAGCGAAAGCGUUAAGUAAUCCACCUGGGGAGUACGACCGCAAGGUUGAAACUCAAAGGAAUUGACGGGGGCCCGCACAAGCAGUGGAGUAUGUGGUUUAAUUCGAAGCAACGCGAAGAACCUUACCAGGUCUUGACAUCCGAUGCAUAGUGCAGAGAUGCAUGAAGUCCUUCGGGACAUCGAGACAGGUGGUGCAUGGUUGUCGUCAGCUCGUGUCGUGAGAUGUUGGGUUAAGUCCCGCAACGAGCGCAACCCUUAUCUUUAGUAGCCAGCGGUUUGGCCGGGCACUCUAGAGAGACUGCCAGGGAUAACCUGGAGGAAGGCGGGGAUGACGUCAAAUCAUCAUGCCCCUUAUGACUUGGGCUACACACGUGCUACAAUGGCGUAAACAAAGGGAAGCAAAGCUGUGAAGCCGAGCAAAUCUCAAAAAUAACGUCUCAGUUCGGACUGUAGUCUGCAACCCGACUACACGAAGCUGGAAUCGCUAGUAAUCGCAGAUCAGAAUGCUGCGGUGAAUACGUUCCCGGGUCUUGUACACACCGCCCGUCACACCAUGGGAGUUGGGAAUGCCCGAAGCCAGUGACCUAACCGAAAGGAAGGAGCUGUCGAAGGCAGGCUCGAUAACUGGGGUG